CCUCGCUCAUUACUGCGACGCUGGAGCGACCCAUAACGACGAAAAACAGCCAUACGGUGUCUCUCUUGGAAGUUUGUACCUGGUUGUGUUGCCGUUCAGGAGCAUGCUUCUUAAAUAAAACUGCAGUAAGCAAAACUGAUGGGCGGAUAAUUUUUGAAGCGAAUGGGGGAAUUGAAACAACAUGAUUGCUGCAUUCGCACCCCUUCAGGCAGGUUCCCCAGGGAGCGCGCUGUGUUACAGUCUUCCCCCAUCCACUCCACAGUUCUGAGAUGCACAGAGACGAUAACACACUCUGUGCGUGAGAUCUUGAAUACCAGUCAGCUGUCGUGUGUGAAUCCCUGGAUGAGUAUUCAGCUCUCCGUCUGCCCUUUCCACGGUUACUGUCUGCCUACCUGUCUACUCGCCACCUCAUCUGUCCACAGAAGAAUAGAGCUGUGCCUUUAUCUGACAGCAGCGUCAUGGCCCCGAGACGACCAGGAGUGGACACGGCGCGUGUGGGCUAACGCACAGGAGCACCUUAAGACCGAAACUGAUCUGCUGAGACUGAGCACCAAGGGCUCCUCUUAAAUUGUAGAUAUAUUAAACCGUGUGUGUGUAUAUAUGCGUGUGUGUGUGCGAUUGCUUGAGCUGUUGGUGCAAGCUGACAUACCUUAAAUCUGUGUGGUGAUGAAUGCAUGCAAUAUGUGUUUGUGCCAGAGGGGCUUUAUCAUCUUUCUUUGAAGGAAAAGUUCUGGAUGAUUCAUUAGAGCGAGACAGGGAGGGAGAAGCUGG